GGGCACCUGGGUGGCUCAGAAACUCAUCUUUUAAAAGAGAAGCAGUCACAAAACCAUUUCUAUGAGUCAGGGAGUGAUUCCUUUUUUCUUAUACAGUUUGUUAUGAACUCUGGGAUUCUGAAUUAAAGCUGCUAC